GAUGAUAUAGAAAUAGUGAAUCCUAAUGUAAAUAGAGUUUAGGUUCGAAUUCGAUAUUCUUCCAAUAUCAAUUUCGGUUGAUAGUGGUUUUUUAUCAAAUCGAUCUAUUUUCUGUUCAAUUUUUUGGUAAUCAGUAUCAGGAAGAAGGCUAUGUUAAAUUUUAAGCAUAAAUCCCAACACAAAUAUUUAGCACAUGUUAAACGAUUGAUAAAAAGGAGAAUCUAUAUAACAAUACAUUACAAGUUAGACAAAAUAAUCGAGAAAAUUCAAGAUUAUAGACAAAAUCUUUUUUGAAACUUGGUCUUGACUUUACCUAAAUAUUUCUCCUCCUUCCUUGGAUGUAUUCUCCACGUGCUUUGAGUUUUAUCCCACAAUAUUAAGAAAAAUUAAAGGAAGAAGAAAGAAAAGAAGAUGAAAGAAGAAGAAUUAGAAUGGAAAAAUCCUAUUUUAGCUCCUAGUUUUAAUAUUUCAAAUAGGUAUUUUCAAAAAUGUCUAAUUUCAUGGGUGUCAAUUGAAAAAUGUCGACUUUUUAAAUUUAGCACUAAAUUGUUUAUUAAGCCCUUUAUGAAAACAGAAGCAAUUUAUUUAUUUUUUCAAUUUGUUGCGGAUUUCGAAAAGUAGUUUUCAUGAGAAGCUACAUUAAAAUGAAAUUCUCGACAUUUCAAAUGUCAUUCUCGAUAUUUGAAUUCCGUUUAUAUUUUAAAAGUACACAUGUCAAAUCACAAUAUUAAAUGUUCUUGGCAUUCUAAAUCUCUAGAAUGACAUUUCAUUCUGAACAUGACAAUUCUCAACACUUAAAAUGUAAUUUUCGACAUUUUUGUGUCAAUGAGAAAAAUAGCAUUAAUUGUGAUUGGACAUGUGCACUAUUAAAAUAAAUAUGGUAGAUUAUGUGUCCAAAAUUUAUUGGCCAAUAAAAUUUUUACAAAAAUGUCCAUUUCUUGUUUUUGUGUGGAAUCAUAAAUUGUUCACAGGGGUAUGUUGGUCCAAAAUAUUCCAAAAUGGACAUUUUUGCAAGAAUUUGUGAAAGUGGACAUUUUUGCAAAUGAACAUGUGAAAGUGGACAUUUCAAGCAAUUUCCUCUAUUUCAAAUUCAAACCUAGAAAAUUUGAAACCAAGUCCUUGAAGUUUUGAAAAGAAAUAAAAAGGUCUCCAUUUUUAUUUUUUAUUUUUUUAAAUGGCGCCUAAACGCCAACUCUCAUCCAAAUGGUUUCAUUUAUUAUUAUUUUUUUCUUUUUCUUUUGCACACAAGUCCUCUAUAAAUUUGCGCUCAAUGUUCUCAACUUUAAUCUUGUACAAUUUGGUCAUUGAAUUUUGACUUUCAUUUCAAUCAUACCUCCAAAAUUUCAACCCAAGGUUCAUCAACUUUCUCCCAUUGUGCAAUUUGGUCACCAACUCCAUGUUUUUGUACGCUUUUGAUCAAUUUUCUCUCCCUUUUGCCUUGUUCUCUUUCUGUUUGGCGUUUAUGACCAACAAAAAUCAAAAUUAGCCAAUUGUAAAUAGAAAAUCACUCAACUUAAUCAAUAAUUAGCUUGUUAAAAUAUUUAAUAAUUGUACAAAAAUGCACCUAUCAAAUACUUCCAAACUUAUGUUCUUGCUCAUCCCAAGCAAGAUUAUCUACAACAUAAAUCAAGCAAACGUGAUAAUAAUUAACACAUUAGAUAGCUUGCCAAAAAUAUCGAAGAGUGUAAAAUUGUAUAGUCAAUUCACAAAUAUGCUCCAAAUAAUGCAAGCAAAAAUAAUUUAAUCUUAUCCAAUAUUUGAUCGGUGUGUGCGCUCGUACAAAGUCACUUUCAAUCAUCAUCUAAAUUAAGAAAAAGUUGUCAAGACAGAAGAAAUUUCAAAUUAGCACAAACCCGACCUUUAGUGGUCAAAUAUUUCCUUUCUACUCGUGAAAUUCACACACUCAAAUAGGUAAUCCUUUUUUUUUGGCCCCCGGGUGUAAAUCUAAAGGCUUCUAUCAAAUCACCCAUUUCAUUUCCCGCUCUUGUUCGGCUGGGCCUGACUAGCAAUCUCAACAUCUAGACAUGUAAUGAUUCCACACUAAUGAGUGCUUCAACAUUCAAGUUUAUACUAAGUAAUUCAAAGGCACUACUUAUAAAAGCCCAAUUAUCAAAUAUAAUUGCACAAUAAUAAUUUUUUUUCCCUUCUUUCAAUUAAAUCUCAUAUUUUACCUUACUCCCCUUGAACUUUCUUUUUAUUACACUACAUUUCAUUCCUGUUAUCUUCUAGUAAACUCUCAGUGAUUGAUCUGGGCUAAUACUUCCUGGGUUACAGAUUCCCAGGGCUUACAGUAGAGCAACAACAACAGCUAAUCUACAGGAAAUUACUCAGCAGCUUCAGGGUUCUAACAUUGAUCUACAGACAGAAAAUUCUCAAACGAUUCAAAUUUCACAAACUAAAUUACCAAAUAUACACAAAGACAGACGUAUGUCUUCUAGAUAGAUUUAUACAUAUCCGUGUGCACUAUCUGUUGCAAUCAUGGGCUCUUCUGCCUCCCCUUUCUCAAAUCCCAUUUCAUAUUUUUCAUCAUAUUGAGUUUAUGCUAAAAAGGGAUCAUCAAUUGAAUUGUCCAAGAUAACAAAACACAAAAAAGAAUGGUGCAGGUAAUGUUGAUAACAAAAACAUGACAGGCUAAAAAAUCUAAAUUUUUAUGUAUACUCCACUCAAUUUUUCAGUAUGAAGAAUUAUGACAUGUUAUUGCCUAAUAUUUACGUUUCUUCCACUCAAUUAUACAAUCUGGUGGACAAGUUUAAACAGUUUAUUAGUUUAUUAUCCUCAACUAUUCAAUUAACUAAAAUUCCCAUUACAGCAAAUAGGAAGAAAAGAUAACAUUCAAAAAGCCAGCUAACGCAAAUGUUCAAUUUUAUUUUCCUUAAAUCCUGAAGAGUAUAACAUAGCGAAGAGUUAUAAAAUUGUGUUAAUUAAAUGAUAAAGAGGGAAUGUUACUUGACAUACACCAUGUGAAAAGCGAGCCAUCGAAGGCGGCGGCAGUAGUGUGCUCACAUCCACAAGCAAUAUGAAGCCACUAGAAUUUAUGUCGGCGGGACAACAGAUUGCGCUCUUCGUGGGGACAUUUCCCCGUUGUGAAUCCCCAAAUAGCUCAUUGAUCUCCAUAUUUCUUUACUACUUAUUAUCAAUUCCGCACAUCCUAGAAGAAAUCAUAAAACCAAUGUAGAAAAUGGAUAACUAACUAUGACUGAAAUCAAUUUGGGGAAUGGGAAAUGAGAAAUUAGUAAAGUCAAUUGUCACCUACGGAAGAAUUGAGCCACGAACAGUUAAAUCGAGAUGGGUCUUAGACGGAAAGUUGGAAACUGAGUUUUUAUUUUUUUAUUUUUUUUGGCAUUCAUUACCUUAGUUCUUCGAUCUCC
rnacentral:lncRNA from 1 species